GGGCCGUUAGCUCAGCGGAAGAGCACCUGCCUUUUAAGCAGGGUGUCGUGGGUCCGAAUCCCACACGGCUCACUA
rnacentral:tRNA from 1 species